rnacentral:rRNA from 1 species
AUUGAACGCUGGCGGCAUGCCUAACACAUGCAAGUCGAACGGCAGCACAGCAGUAGCAAUACUGUGGGUGGCGAGUGGCGGACGGGUGAGUAAUGCAUCGGGAUCUACCCAAACGUGGGGGAUAACGUAGGGAAACUUACGCUAAUACCGCAUACGUCCUAUGGGAGAAAGCGGGGGAUCGCAAGACCUCGCGCGGUUGGACGAACCGAUGUGCGAUUAGCUAGUUGGUAGGGUAAUGGCCUACCAAGGCGACGAUCGCUAGCUGGUCUGAGAGGAUGAUCAGCCACACUGGAACUGAGACACGGUCCAGACUCCUACGGGAGGCAGCAGUGGGGAAUAUUGGACAAUGGGCGCAAGCCUGAUCCAGCAAUGCCGCGUGUGUGAAGAAGGCCUUCGGGUUGUAAAGCACUUUUAUCAGGAGCGAAAUGCCAUUGGUUAAUACCCGGUGGAGCUGACGGUACCUGAGGAAUAAGCACCGGCUAACUUCGUGC